rnacentral:tRNA from 1 species
GGUUCAGGUAGCUCAGCUGGUUAGAGCAAAGGACUGAAAAUCCUUUUGUCGGUGGUUCGAAUACACCUCUAAACGGGCCUA